ACGAGAUUGAAGAAAGAGCAACACAGGAUGUUGUAGAAAAAAUAAAAGAAGUCAAUCUAUUUUUGCAGUCACAAGCGGCAUCUGAAGAAUACAUAGAACAGUUAAAAGAGGAUCAUGUGGCUUCAAUAAGAAGUCAGACAGAAGUGACAAUUAAAAAUCUGGAAUCUGAAAUCUCCAACAUGAAAUUUUCUCAAGGAGAAGUGGAAAAGUAUAACCCCCUGUAUCAAGGAGAAUGAAAAGCUAGGAAAUAUUUGUUGAAGAAAGCAAAAAAUUUUCGCAGAACUCCUGAGCGACUAGCAGCGUCCAGUCGCAAUCUUGUUGAGGAGACACAGGGGACUGGAACUUGCUUUCCCACUCGAGCUAUGAAGA